CUGUACUGGUAACAUCCAGAUAACUCCUAAAUAGUAGAAAAUUGCUAAAGCCAAGCAAACCUUAUCUUACUGCUUUUCUACACUGUCACUGGGCAAGCUGAUGACUGAAAGAACAGGAAAGGAGUCUACUAGAUUGUUCAUCAUUCACACCUAUUUGGGAACCUCACCACAAGGGCUGAAGGGAAUCAACUUGGAUAGGUGGAAGAAGAACAUAAAACCUGACAUUCACUUGCCUGGUAAGGAGAGCUUUCCAACCAGGAACACAGAUUUCCCUUGGUGGUUGCAGCAUUUGCUGUGUCACUGAACCCAUCUGCUGCACAACUGUCAGGAUUGUGGCACUUCAAACACACAGGGGCAGAAGUACCAUUCCUUUGACAAGUACUUACUCAGCAGAUUAAAAGUCACUAAACCAAAAGGCAUCAAGGACCUGGAGCCCUGGGUCUGGAGUACACAAAAUAUUGCAAUUACAACUGCUUCUAAAUCUCAGCUGGUUUCUCCCUAAUACUUAAGAGACCAGUGGAAAGAAGCAGCUACAACAAUGUGUCCAAAGGUCAGGAAAAGCCUGGAUCUAUGUCUGAAGUAAUUCAUGGAAGAACAGCAAUGAAAAUCAAAGGAAGAAAUGAAAUGGCUUCCACUGUUACUCCAGGUCACCAGGAGAGGCUCAACCAAGCAGUGACUUAACAUUAACAUGUAUCAGCACAUAUGGACAAUUCCAGUCAGGCCAGGAAUUGUUUUUCCUGUGGCCAUGAGGAAAGUUAACCAUUGCAACCCAAGUCAUCUGACUUUUUUUUUUCCCAAGGAGCAGAAUUUCCUUUCUUCUUCUGGAGAAGUUUUCAUUUUGUGAGGGAGUGUGUUUACGAUAGAUUCCCACAUCAGAAAUGGUGACAUCAGUGAUUCCUUUUGCAAUUUCCCAUCAGUACCCUGGGGACAGGGCUGGCCUUCCUUUGUCAGUGUGUGCUGAAAUCUGGGGACAGCAGGUGCAGUAACACACCAAGUGCAAGUGCUUUCACCAGGCUUUAAAACCAGGGAAAGUACAGGAGUUUCCUCAAUGCACAGCCUGUUCCAGGGUCUGCUCACCCUUAAUUUCAUGAAGCUUAAGAAGUGACAAUGUUGUGGUCCAGCAAUGACAGAAAGCAGUGACUCUGUUGCAAUAGCCAUUGUAAUGGAAGGAAGGUUGAUGUUCAACCCCAAACUAAGCAGGAACUGAGGUAUUUUUAAGUGUGCAGCCUGCAAGUCAUUCCUGUGGUUGCAAAGGGAAGAUGUGUGGAUUCCCUGGUUGGGUGCAAAUUAUCUCAUCUCCUGUU
rnacentral:lncRNA from 1 species